rnacentral:rRNA from 1 species
GGGUCAGUAGGUUGGUCGUGCCACCGGUACGUACUGGUCUCACUGAUUCCUCCUUCCUGAAGAACCGUAAUGCCAUUAAUUUGGUGUUGCGGGGAAACAGGACUGUUACUUUGAAAAAAUUAGAGUGUUUAAAGCAAGCUAACGCUUGAAUACAUUAGCAUGGAAUAAUGAAAUAGGACGAUCGAUCCUAUUUUGUUGGUUUCUAGGAUUGACGUAAUAAUUAAUAGGAUAGUUGGG